AUUAUGGUCGGUGUGCUUCGGUUUACUAAUCCUCUUUUCGUCAUGUUCGUUGAUCGCAAAAGCAUCGCAUUUUGCAAAACAAAGUCAAUGAUGUAGAGUUCAUCUACACGUGUCGUCGUCACCCUGGACAGUGCACAUCAACAAAGAAUCAUAGAGACGGUUUCGCAACAGAAAGAGAGCAGGUAGCAGAACAGACAUGAUAUAGGCAGGUUUAGAGUGCAGUCCAAAAGUUAUCAUCUAUGGCUGCAGAGAGAUCUGGCCAUCCAUAUUUUGUUUGGUUGGUAUAAGAUAUGGACUUCCACUCAGCAAUGGAAACAUUCGCAGAGGCUUGGGUGGCAGCUAACACACAAACGGCAUUGACCACUGAAUCACAACCACAGCAGCAGAUAUUCGCACCUCCAUACCCGAGACUGACAGACUUGAGCAUGAAUCGUCUACCGUUACCUCCGUCAUCGCAGGAGACAGUAAUGCAGCACCCGCAGAUGGGUGAAGUUCUACGUUGCCCAAUCCCUGAUGCCCACAAACAGCUGGUGGUAGCUGGCUCGGCUCCGGGCAAAGAAGCAGGUAGGAUUUGAUGUUGUUCAAUGUUCGAGGCAGUUUUAGUAAUGUUGAUUUGACUGUGGCAUGAAGUAUAUUUAAAUGUUAACUAAUUAAACACAAUAAUGCAAAUAUUAACGAACUUAUUAUUAGCAUUGAAUGGAAGAAUGUAUUCAGUGCCUGUUCUUUCUGCAUGUUUGGUAAUGUGUCUGUGUAUUAUUAUAUUAUGUUUGAAUAGCAGAUUUGUUCAAGUUUCUAGUUAUGUUUGUCUUGCAAUUAAUCUUCACACAGAGAUCGUGAACACAUGUGCAUGCGUGCGUGUGUGCGUGCGUGCAUCAUGAGUCGAAAUCACACAUUUCCACCAUUCUGGCACCAGCAGUUUUGCCAUCAGAAAAGUAUAUAUAUACUAACUAUGCACUUCUGUAUUGGAAAAUUUGGAAAAGAAAAUGUUUCAUUAUCACCUAUUCACUUCAAGUAUUUGGAAGUUACGCUAUCUAACCUGGCAAAGGGUGUCCAUUGGUGCAGAAAAGCACAUGCAUCUGUGCCUGUUAUUACCUGUUACUCACCUUGCUAAUGAUUUCAUCUGAAAAAAACCCGCAAACAUUUGCUGGAAAAUAAUUCCAGUUGUCACUUUUCUGAACGAAGAGUAUUUUUUCAUAAUUUUGUCCCCGAGUGCAUGCACAUACGCGUAUAUGUCCGAUAUAGAUGAAUUUCAAGCUGGCAUGGUUUUCAUAUUUAUUGCAAGCAGUUCGGUUUUUAGCUCAUCUGACGUAGUCAGGUGCAGCUUGUAGAAUCGCAUGAUCGUCCG